GGGAGCUGAGCGAGAGAAGUGGAGGGCAGGGCAACCAAUGCCGGCUGCCACAGCACCCCCUGUAGGGCCGAAUGAGCGGCGUCCGUCCCGCGGCACUCGGGUGAACCGCAGCUUCCUUCAACAAAGAUUAAGCGACUCUGCGAUAGGCGCUGCAGAUACGAGGAAGGAGGCGACAGGGCCUAGCUGUCACACAGCUUGGUGAAGAAGCCAGGAGACAUAAACACAAGAGUGCAACGGAAAACUUUAUAUGAUAAACAUUUAUGUCGGGUUAGUGAAGCGCAAAGGAAGAACGAUCACUUGUGGGUGGGCGGAGGCUCACAGAAGCGGCGCAAGCUCAACAGGUGGGCAAGGAAGAGCAGAACGCGUAGACCCAUUUUAGAUCUGCAGUGUAUGUCAGAUGACUGGUGUUUAGGAGAUGAGGAAGAAGCCAUAUAAUCACUUAUGCAAGGAUAAGAAAUCUGAUCCUCCAAGCAGGAGGAUCGCUUGAGCCCAGGAGUUCGAGGCUGCAGUGAGCCAUGAUCGCGCUACGCACCCAGCUUGGGCAUCAGAGCAAGACACUGUCGCAAAAGUGAAGAAAAAAUAAAGAAGAUGGCCUGAAGGGGACACCAGGUCGAGCAUGUGGAUAACUGAGAGAUGAUGAAAAAGGCAGGCACUCUGGGCUGACUUUCAUUAUAAAUAGCAGAGCCCUUUCUAUCUCUUUUUCAGAAAAAUCCCAAGGAACAAUUGUUUUGGAUUACUUAGUGGACUCAGCGUGGAAACUGCUUGUGUGGCCCAGCUAGGUAGGGGCGUUCAGACAAGGAGACCUGACCUGGAGCUUCUGGGAUGAUUCCAAGAAGAAGAAUCCUGGCCUGAUGAACUCCUCAAGCUCUCUUCUUUGGGAAAUAGGAAGAUCACAAUUUGAAAUCUUAAUCCAAGCAAAAAAGGAGAUCUACCAGAGGUGUUUGGAAGCCAGGAUCUUCACUAAGAAUCAUCACUCUACACAGGGAAGACAUUUGACCGAAUUGGGAAGUAGGAAGAAUUUGUCCUUGCUCCUCCCCUCUCCCACGAUAUUGAAAGCUGGUUGCCAUCUUUGCAAUGCCUCCCAGCUGAUGCUUCAACAGGCUACUCCACCAUUCUCUCAGACUGGGUAGUAUGAUACUGUUACUGAAACACCAGAGGUUUGGUCUACGUCCUGCUGCUCGCUGCACAGAAAGCCAAUGACAGAGACAACGAGUAUUACCAAGGAAUAAGCAAAAAAGAAGAAGGAAGAAGAAGGAGUCGUGCUAUAGCCUUCUGUAGCUACAGAUCGGGUGCUACAGCCGAGGAGAUGGGAGCUUAGUCUCAAAUCCAUCUCCCUGCUGUACUAAAACUAGAGGUUUAUAUAGCAGGGAAGAAGUGUAACAAUGUAUAACAAAAUAGGAACUAGGGAGGGGCAAGGAAGCAAUCAUGAUGAAUGAGGGGUCCAGCAUCUCAUUGUCCAUUGUCUGGAUGUGGUGAUUUUAUUUUAUUUUUUUUGAGACAGAGUCUUGCUCUGUCACCCAGGCUGGAGUGCAGUGGUGCCAUCUCAGUUCACAGUUCACUGUAACCGCUGCCUCCUGGGUUCAAGCGGUUCUCCUGCCUCAGCCUCCCGAGUAGCAGGGAUUACAGGCACAAACCACCAUGCCUGUUUUUUUUGUAUUUUUAUUUAUUUUAUUUUAUUUUUUUGAGACAGAGUCUUGCUUUGUCGCCCAGGCUGGAGUGCAGUGGCGCCAUCUUGGCUCUCUGCAACUUUUGCCUCCUGGGUUCAAGCAAUUCUCCUUCUCAGCCUCCUGGGUAGCUGGGAUUACAGGCGCCCACCACCACGCCCAGCUAAUUUUUUGGUAUUUUUAGUAGAGACGGGGUUUCACCAUCUUGGCCAGGCUGGUCUUGAACUCUUGACCUUGUGAUCUGCCCGCCUUGGCCUCCCAAAGUGCUGGUGAAAGGUGAAGCCGGCUGGGCUUCUGGGUCAUUUGGGGACUUGGAGAAUUUUCUGUCUAGCUAAAGGAUUGUAAAUGCGCCAGUCAGCGCUCUGUGUCUAGCUAAAGGUUUGUAAAUGCACCAAUCAGUGCUCUGUGUCUGGCUAAUGGGGUAGGGGACUUGGAGAACUUUUCUGUCCAGCUGAAGGAUUGUAAAUGCACCAAUCAGCACUCUGUGUCUAGGUUUGUAAAGGCUGCACCAGUCAGUGCUCUGUGUCUAGCUAAUCAGGUGGGGACUUGGAGAACUCUUGUGUCUAACUAAAGGAUUGUAAAUGCACCAAUCAGCACUCUGUGUCUAACUAAAGGAUUUUAAACGCACUCUAUAAAAUGGACCAAUCAGCAGGAUGUGGGUGGGGCCGAAAAGGGAAUAAAAGCAGGCCACCGAGGGAGCAGCGGAAACCCGCCAGGGUCCCCUUCCCUAUUGUGGGAGCUUUGUUCUUUUGCUGUUUGCAAUAAAUCUUGCUGCUGC
ensembl:lncRNA